GGUGUGACACUCGGGUAUUUAUAAUACCAAAAAAGAAAGGAAGAAAACCUGGCAUAAAUAGACACGUUUUGUUGUUUGCUUUUUUAGGCUCGUAUGCUAGGGAGCAGAUAGACAAGAAACCACGGAUGGUCAAAGAAGGAAGCUUUUGGAGAGAAGGGACAUCACCUUGGUCUAUUGGAAGAGAAAACUUUGUGUAAUUGAAUUUACUGUUUGGUUUUCUUCCAGAACUGAAAUGUCAAGUCCGGUGUCAUGUAUGCAGUAGCUUUGUGCUGUGAGAGCUCAACAGAUCCACCAAAAGCUGCUAGUAGUUGAUCUUUGGAUAGAGCAAGAAAUAAAUAAAUCCUCUUUAGCAGAUCAA